UACGUAGGGGGCAAGCGUUGUCCGGAAUCAUUGGGCGUAAAGAGCGCGUAGGCGGUCCGGUAAGUCCGCUCUGAAAGUCCGGGGCUCAACCCCGGGAGGCGGGCGGAUACUGUCGGGCUAGAGUCCGGAAGAGGCGAGUGGAAUUCCUGGUGUAGCGGUGAAAAUGCGCAGAUAUCAGGAGGAACACCGGUGGCGAAGGCGGUUCUCUGGGCAUUACCUGACGCUGAGGAGCGAAAGUGUGGGGAGCGAACAGG
rnacentral:rRNA from 1 species